GAAAUGCGAUAAGUAAUGUGAAUUGCAGAAUUCAGUGAACCAUCGAAUCUUUGAACGCACAUUGCGCCCGCCAGUACUCUGGCGGGCAUGCCUGUUCGAGCGUCAUUACAACCCUCAAGCCCCCGGGCUUGGCGUUGGGGAUCGGCACAAGGCGGAGGGGCACCCCUAGGGAGCCCCCUCGGCCCGCCGUCCCCCAAAUUCAGUGGCGGUCACGUCGCGGCCUCCUAUGCGUAGUAGCAACACCUCGCACUGGAAGCCCCUCGCGUCCACGCCGUAAAACCCCCGACUUUUUAUCAAGUUGACCUCGAAUCAGGUAGGACUACCCGCUGAACUUAA
rnacentral:misc_RNA from 1 species